CUUUUCUUCUUUUUUUUUUUUUUUUUUUUUUUUUUUUUUUGCUUCCUAUUAGAGGGAAGAAAAGGAGGAGACUGAUAGGAAGAAAAUGAAAUCAGAAAAAGAAACAAAAUCAUUGCAGUCUUCAACUAACAAAGACUCCAAUAAAUUGAAGGCAUCAAAAGCUUCAUUUGAAACCCAGAAGAAAGAUGUGCUCCCACCACUGCCAGCCAUGUCUACUGGACAGCCUGCACCAAAGUCAACCAAGAUGACCCAAAAGAGACCCAGAACUGAGCCUGACGAGCUUCCUGCCAUGGAUAACCCUGUCAGGAGCAAGAGCAACCACAAGCAUCCUUUGUUUGCCAAGCACAGGAAAGUGGAGGGAAAUCAUACGGAACUGUCGAAGGGCAUCAAAGGAUCUGCAGGUGAUGUCACAAAGCCUUUCCCAGUGCCUUCUUUGCCAAAUGGUACCUCUAAACCAAGGAGACCUCUGCUCAAGUUUGAAAAGUAAGCUCUUAUUUGACACCUCUCAUCUGUAUUUUCUGAAGACAUGAGGCA
rnacentral:lncRNA from 1 species